CGAAUUCAUCGCCGUCUUCGUCUUCUUCCUUGUCACA
rnacentral:sRNA from 1 species